GACGAACGCUGGCGGCGUGCUUAACACAUGCAAGUCGAACGCUGAAGCUCAGCUUUUGUUGGGUGGAUGAGUGGCGAACGGGUGAGUAACACGUGAGUAACCUGCCUCCUUCUUUGGGAUAACGCCCGGAAACGGGUGCUAAUACUGGAUAUUCACUGGUCUUCGCAUGGGGGUUGGUGGAAAGGGUUUUUCUGGUGGGGGAUGGGCUCGCGGCCUAUCAGCUUGUUGGUGGGGUGAUGGCCUACCAAGGCUUUGACGGGUAGCCGGCCUGAGAGGGUGACCGGUCACAUUGGGACUGAGAUACGGCCCAGACUCCUACGGGAGGCAGCAGUGGGGAAUAUUGCACAAUGGGCGCAAGCCUGAUGCAGCGACGCCGCGUGAGGGAUGGAGGCCUUCGGGUUGUGAACCUCUUUCGCUCAUGGUCAAGCCGCAACAAUGGUUGUGGUGAGGGUAGUGGGUGAAGAAGCGCCGGCUAACUACGUG
rnacentral:rRNA from 1 species